rnacentral:rRNA from 1 species
UACGUAGGGUGCAAGCGUUAAUCGGAAUCACUGGGCGUAAAGCGUGCGCAGGCGGUUCGUUGUGUCGGCGGUGAAAGCCCCGGGCUUAACCUGGGAAUGGCCGUUGAAACUGGCGAACUGGAGUGUGGCAGAGGGGGGUGGAAUUCCGCGUGUAGCAGUGAAAUGCGUAGAGAUGCGGAGGAACACCGAUGGCGAAGGCAACCCCCUGGGCUAACACUGACGCUCAGGCACGAAAGCGUGGGGAGCAAACAGG